CAUUUCUGAGCUUCACAGGUUCUUUAUUCCUUUACUUGUUUAUCCUCUGCAGACUGUUUGAGAGUCAUCCCAUCUGUUGCCUACCUGAACCAAGAAUCAAAUCCUAGAGUAGGACUGUGCUGUACUACUUGGUUGGAGAUCUACUGAUAUCCUAGUAUUGGGAAAGACCUAACAGGUCGUGAUUCCUGGGUAGAUGCUUAUUCCUAUCUCUGGCUACUGACCCUUGGUUUGACUUUCUGGGUCCUGAAUUUUGGCCACGAACAUUCGGCUCCUUUCCCAGCCCUGGACACGGGCCCUAACCUUUGGGCUGAAUAGCCUGGGCUCCAGUCUGUAAUCCUAGAUGGCCACCAGGUCAUCUGUAGUAGACUGUACUCUAAUUUAUUCAAUCACAAAUGAACUCUAAGAGAUAAGUUUGGGUGUUGGUUUUGUUUUCUUUUUUUUUAAAUUAUGACAAGUGUAGCUAUUUAUUUAUUAACUGGUC